rnacentral:rRNA from 1 species
GCAUAACUGUAAACUAAAAUGUUUUAUAUACACCACACUCGCCUGGGUACUACGGGCAUUAGCCUAAAACCCAAAAGACUUGGCGGUGCUUUACACCCCCCUAGAGGAGCCUGUUCUUUAACUGAUAACCCCCGUUAAACCUCACCUUGUUUUGCCUAACCAACCUAUAUACCGCCGUCGUCAGCUUACCUUGUGAAAGAAUAAUAGUGAGCAUAAUUAGUAUAACUCAAAACGUCAGGUCGAGGUGUAGUUUAUAACAAGGGAAGAAAUGGGCUACAUUCACCCUAUAGUGAAAACGAAUGAUUUAAUGAAAUAUAAAUCUGAAGGAGGAUUUAGCAGUAAAAAGAAAAUAGAGUGUUCUUUUGAAACAGGCUCUAAAGCGCG